rnacentral:ncRNA from 1 species
GGAAGCGGAGUGAGUCGAGAGAUUCACGCUCCGUUUUGAGAGGGGCUGGCGGGGAAGUUCCGCUGGUCUACUCACC